rnacentral:lncRNA from 1 species
UAUGGAAUUAUGCUACUAUACUAUCAAUAGUAGUAAGCCCUUGGUACUAUUGAGUUGGUACUAUUGAGUUUUCGGCCAUUGGAUGAAAGGAUGUGCGGUUAGGAUGAUAGUGGUCCCCUAGGGUUGAGUGGGUAGUUGAUUUAAUAGUAUAAUCUAACGGGUGGAAAUGAUCAAAGGGUAGAUCUAAUGGUAGAAAACUCAAAAGUACCAAUGGCUUGGUACUAUCGAUAGUAUAAUAACCGGACUCUAUAUAUAUGUAUAUACGGCUGGAAUGCUAUUAAUAGUACUAAGCACUUCGUGCCAUCUUGGUCAGUUCCAUCCCUUCGAUCAUGCUAUUCUACAACCCACCUACUAAAGCCUAGGGGGACCACCGCUAAACUCUAGGGGACCACUAUCAUCCCAACACUACAAUUUUUCAUCUAAGGUUGUAAACUUUAGUAGUAAAAAUGAUCAAAUACAAUUAAUAGUAUUCCAGUACAACACCAUAUAUACACAAACAUAUAUACACACGUAUAUACACGCAUAUAUACACGCGCGCACACGUAUACGUAUAUAUAUAGAAUUGAGCUCCUAUACUUUUAAAAGUAUCAAGUCAUUCUUGCUUGUCGGUUUUCGGCCCUUGGAUUAAGGGAUGUACGAUUGGGAUGACAGUGGUCCCCUAGGGAUAUAUAUAUAUAUAUAUAUAGAAUUAGGGUACUAUACUAUCUAUAGUAUUGGAGCUCCGGUACUAUAGUCUCAUUUUUUAUUUUAGGAUGUUCAAAUCAAUGAUCCACACCGUCAAAUAUAAUCUAGGGUGAAGUUCUUAGAAUAAAAUUUUAAUUUUUUUCAAUAUCGUUUACUUAGUAAGUAAAUCAUGUCAAAAUAAACGGUGAAAAUUGAACAAUCUUUAAAAUUUGAGAAUAGGACUUUUGAAUUCAAGAUCAAGUAUGCUGACCUUGAUCUAUAUAGUUUAAAGUAUUUUCUAUCAAAAUUUGAAUAAAUUUAAAUUCUUUUACAUUGUUAAGUUACGAACUCGCCAUAGUAGCCAUUGAAAAUUGACUAGUUUGAAAUGCUUUGAUCAUAAAGUAAACUAUGUCGAAAAAAUAUAAAAUUUUGUUUCUAAAAACUCCAAAUAUUUUAGAUCAGUUUUAACAGUGUGGAUCAUUGAUUUCAAUACCUAAGAUUGAAAACGGGACUAUAGUACCGGAGCCCCGGUACUAUAGAUAGUAUAGGAGCUUAGCUCUAUAUGUAUAUGUAUAUGCAUAUAUCAUGCACAAUAGGUCCAAUGAACAAAAAAGCUUGAUCACAGGGCUCAAAACAUAUAACCAUCUCUCCAAAUAGACGAUCGACACUGUUGAACAUGAUCUAGACCAUUUAAGCUAAUUUGGAAAUCAAAUUUCAUGCUUUUCGGAUAUUAUUUCUUAUCCAUCAAGUGGACACAAAAAUGAACGGAUGAAAAUUAAUAUCCUUUUAAAAGUGGUGAUAGGAGUCUUGUAAUCAAGAUCAAGCAUUUAUAUCUUGUUUUAAGUAGUUUAAAGAAUUUUUUAACUAAAAUUCAAUUGAUUUAGAUAUCUUUGUGCCGUUAAAUUAGAAAACACUUCAUAUCGACCAUGAAAAUUAUAAAUUUUUAAACUCUUUGACCAUUAGGUCAAUGACGUCGAAAAGAUUUGAAAUUUGGUUCUAAGAUAUUUUAAAUGGUAUAGAUCAUGUACAAUGGUGUCGAUCGUCGAUUUGGAAACUCCAUCAUCGAAAACAAAUCGGUAGCANAUAUAUAUAUAUAUAUAUAUAGAAUUAGAGUACUAUAUUAUCUAUAGUAUUGGAGCUCCGGUACUAUAGUCUCAUUUUUUAUCUUAGGAUGUUCAAAUCAAUGAUCCACAUCGUCAAAUAUAAUCUAGGGUGAAGUUCUUAGCAAUAAAAUUUUAAUUUUUUUCAAUAUCGUUUACUUAGUAAGUAAAUCAUGUCAAAAUAAACGGUGAAAAUUGAACAAUCUUUAAAAUUUGAGAACAGGACUUUUGAAUUCAAGAUCAAGUAUGCCGACCUUGAUCUAUAUAGUUUAAAGUAUUUUCUAUCAAAAUUUGAAUAAAUUUAAAUUCUUUUACAUUGUUAAGUUAACGAACUCGCCAUAGUAGCCAUUGAAAAUUGACUAGUUUGAAAUGGUUUGAUCAUAAAGUAAACUAUGUCGAAAAAAUAUAAAAUUUUGUUUCUAAAAACUUCAAAUAUUUUAGAUCAGUUUUAACCGUGUGGAUCAUUGAUUUCAAUACCUAAGAUUGAAAACGGGACUAUAGUACCGGAGCCCCGGUACUAUAGAUAGUAUAGGAGCUUAGCUCUAUAUGUAUAUGUAUAUGCAUAUAUCAUGCACAAUAGGUCCAAUGAACAAAAAAGCUUGAUCACAGGGCUCAAAACAUAUAACCAUCUCUCCAAAUAGACGAUCGACACUGUUGAACAUGAUCUAGACCAUUUAAGCUAAUUUGGAAAUCAAAUUUCAUGCUUUUCGGAUAUUAUUUCUUAUCCAUCAAGUGGACACAAAAAUGAACGGAUGAAAAUUAAUAUCCUUUUAAAAGUGGUGAUAGGAGUCUUGUAAUCAAGAUCAAGCAUUUAUAUCUUGUUUUAAGUAGUUUAAAGAAUUUUUUAACUAAAAUUCAAUUGAUUUAGAUAUCUUUGUGCCGUUAAAUUAGAAAACACUUCAUAUCGACCAUGAAAAUUAUAAAUUUUUAAACUCUUUGACCAUUAGGUCAAUGACGUCGAAAAGAUUUGAAAUUUGGUUCUAAGAUAUUUUAAAUGGUAUAGAUCAUGUACAAUGGUGUCGAUCGUCGAUUUGGAAACUCCAUCAUCGAAAACAAAUCGGUAGCAACGGAGUCUGUUUGCUACUAAUAACAUUCCAGCUCAAAUCUGUAUAUAGAUACACACACAAAUAUACACACAUAUAUGUAUAUGUAUAUGCAUCUAUCAUGCACAAUAGGUCCAAUGGCCAAAAAGCUUGAUCCAAGGGCUCAAAACUUAUAAAUCAAGAACUUGAUGCAUCUAAAAGCAUUCCAAUUCAGUACUAUAUAUAUAUAUAUAGUCCAGCUAGAAUACUAUCAAAAGUGUGUUAAUAGCGCCUACUAUAAACUUCUUAUCCUUUGGAUCCAUAAUAAUACCACCACCAAAUAGUAAAACCUAGUCAUCCAAGAGCUAAAAAGUCUAUAUGUAUACUAUUAGUACUCUGGCUCAAUACUCUCNCUCUCUGGGCAUUUUCGCAGUGAGGGACCGGUCCCAGCUCGGGAAGACCGGUCCCCGAAGGCUGCCAUUUCGAGCAGAGGGAAUUUCGCGUUCGGGAACCGGUUCUUGCUUGAGAGACCGGUCCCCGGGAGACCGGUCUUUGUCCGAGAGACCGGUUCCCGAGAGCUGAGUUUUCGGGACUUAGCCGAUUUUCGGCUAUUUUCGCUGGGCCAACGUUCGGGAACCGGUCCCUUACCACCAGGGACCGGUCUCAUCAGAGACCCCCGCAGCCCAGCCUGAUGGAACCGGUCCCUCCCUGCCAGGGACCGGUCCCCGAGAGCAUUUCUGCUCCAGUGCAAGUUUUGCACUUGGUGCUCUCGCGGGCCCUUCCUUAAUGCACUUUAUGCAUUAUAAACACCUUCGGACUUUCCGAAGCCUACGCACUCGACAACUAGUUGAUUCUGGUCGAAGUCUAAUUCUCGAGUUUCGAGAAUUCACUUCCUUACAAAAAGUGUGUUAAUAGCGCCUACUAUAAACUUCUUAUCCUUUGGAUCCAUAAUAAUACCACCACCAAAUAGUAAAACCUAGUCAUCCAAGAGCUAAAAAGUCUAUAUGUAUACUAUUAGUACUCUGGCUCAAUACUCUCUCUCUUUCUCUCUCUAUAUAUAUAUAUAUAGAGAGAGAGAGAGAGAGAGAGAGCGAGAGAGAGAGAGAGAGAGAGAGAGAGAAACUAGAAUACUAUUGAUAGUAGAGAAAUAGUGUUUGCUAUCUAUUUUUUAUCCCUUGGAUGCAUAGGGUUUACUAUUUGGUGGUGAUAUUAUUAUGGAAGGUGUAAAAAGUUGAUAGUAGAUACUAUUUAUUUGUUAUUAGUAAUAUUGUAGCUGAAGUGUGUGUGUGUGUGUGUGUGUGUGUAGAGUCCGGCUACUAUGCUAUUAAUAGUACGAAGCACUUGGUGCUACCAAGUUUUCCGCCGUUAGAUCUAUCCUUUUGAUCAUUUUCAUCCGUUAGAUCAUACUAUUCAACCAACCACCCACUCAACCCUAGGGGGCCCACAUCAUCCUAACCGCGGAAAACUUGGUAGCACCAAGUGCUUCGUGCUAUUAAUAGCAUAGCAGCCUAGUUAUAUAUAUAUAUAUAUAUAUAGUUUGGUUCAAAUGCGCAAAGGUUGCUCUACUUAACUGUCUUAGGUCGGUUCCUGCUUUGCUGUUACUGGGUUCUUGACAUUUGCAUUAUGUUGAAACUUUACCCUUUUGGUUAAAUAUGUCCACAUCAGAAUGGACAUAUAGUAUUCUGUCAUUUAAUUGUCCCCUAACUUUCACCUGGAGUUCCUCCGUACGUAGCUAAUAGUGUUAAGGCCAUUCUAACCAAACUAAGCAAGGAUCUAGUUUAGAAGCUUAAGAUAGUAAUAGUACAAAAUGUAAGAACCCAGAGUUAACAGCUGAGUGGUUGGGGAUCACAUUGAAACCUCAUAAAAAGGUUGGGCCCCUUGCUACACAUUACCCUCUUAGUUGCCUCUGUAUAUAGAAGUUCAGAAAAGUCUAAGCACUUUUCCCUCUUAGUUGUGGUCGGACGAUUAGUAGUAAAUGAUAUAAUACUGUCUCAAAAUUUUCCAUUUGUUGUGCAUCUUAUUCAGUCUAACAACAUAGGGGAGUCUGUUAUGCUGUUAUGCUGGUUUUCUUGCAUUUGAACAAAAUUCAUUGUGGAGUAAUCUUGCUUCCUCUCAAAAAGUAAAAGAACAAAAAAAUAAUAAUGUCACUGGAAGAGGAUAGCUUACUGUGUGUUAAACAAAUUUUGCAGGUAUGGCGAGCAAGCAGGUGAGGUGACGCAUGAAGGACUCGGUGCAGCAGGACAUGCUAUUGGAACUGCAUGGGCCGUCUUCAAGAUAAGAAAAGCGUUCAACCCUAAGAAUGCUGUGAAGCCAACAUCUUUGGUGAAGUCAGCAGCUAAGGCAGCAGCUGGUGAGCUAAAGACUAAGCAAGGAAAGAAGUGAAGAAUUUGGUUUUUACUGGUCUUCGUCAUUGAAGGACCGCCUCGAUGAGUAUAUGAAACAAUACCUCGGUGAUGUUUCGUGUGAAGAUUGCCUCGCUCAUUAUAUAUGUAUCUUGAUGUUUUUUUUUGCAUGCUGUAGAUUCAAUCGUUGUUUGGUGUGGUGUUUUCCUGUGUCCUAAUGAAAUGCUAGAGCUCCCUGUUCUUUAGCUUGUAUUUUUUUAAAUUUUUUUUCUGUUCUAGAAGCCAGCAGUGAGUAAAUAAACUGGUCAUUACUUUAUGUUUUCUUUCCCUUUUUUCCCGAUUAUUUGAGAGAGAGAGAGAGAGAGAGAGAGAGAGAGAGAGAGAGGAUUUAUUUUAUAUUUUUUCAAGUUGAUGAUGAUUGACUAUUUAGUCGGAUGUGGAAUUCAGUUUUAGUAGUCACCCAAUUACGUAUCCGCUUGUCCACGGUCAAAAGUAUGAGUGAUUUAAAUAAUCCCGCUUAUCCAGAGUCAAAAAGUACGAGUGAUUUAAAUAUUUGCAUGUUCUAGCUGGGGUUAAUUACUUUCAUGUCCUUAACAAGCGUACAAGAUUUCUCUAAAACCAUAUCAAUGUAUCAAUAUAAUAUAAUUAAAAAUUGAAAAACUUUUAGUGAUUCUGUAACAUCUAUUAUCUAUUACUACUCAUUAUUUCUCUAAAAUCUUCCCACAUGGCAGCAUUCUCUUCAAUGUUGUUGGUUGUGGGCUUUACCGGUUUCUUUUCCUUUAUUUGAACAGAACCGGAUUGUCAAGUAUGAGUGCCAAUCUGAACGGGCUCAAGUCUUCCAAAUAAUUUCAUCUUUCUUUGCUUGAACCAAACAUGGUUUCCCUCUGUUUUUACUUAAACCAGAUCGAGUUAAAUUGCUUCAUUGGGCUGAACCAGAGCAAUUGCUUUAUACGUUUUUAUUUUUGAAUCGCAUUUUCCUUUUAAUUGUUUGAACCAAACUGAUUAUAGUUGAGUCAGGUCUCUAUCCUAAACUGGCUCAAGUUUUCUUUUUUUUUUUGACUGAGCCAAACCGGUGCCCUUUUUUUUUUGCUUGAAUUGGUCUGCUUCAUUGGAUCGAACCAGACCAAUUGUUUCAUAGUUUCCAUCUUUGAACCGAUUUUUUUGUUGAGUGAGGGCUCCACAUUGAAUGAAUGUAUUAAUUUGUAUAAGCACCACACUCUAAACCGACCUCGCUCAUUUGUUCUUCUAAAUUAUUUUAUUAUCUUAAUAGUUUGCGGAAUAAAAUUAUUAAGCUUCAACUAAUGAUAAUAUUUUUUACUUCGGAUGUGAACCGCGAACAAUUUAUAAUUACAUAUUCUCAAUAAUAAUUUUCGUCAAAAAUUAUUCUAUCUGUAAACAAAUUUUUUUUUUUUCUCCUUUUCUUUUGCUUCUCUAUAUUGAAUUUUUUGCUUGAAUACUAAUUCUGAAAUUUAUUUAGCAGUGAAAAAAAAAUAUUUUUAAGUAAUGAUAAUUUAUUAAUAUUGUGUUAUUUAACUAAAAAUAUACUUUCUAAUAUUAAUUAUAAAUUAAAUAUAAUAUUAACUGUCUGCCGACUUGCGCUUACCUUAAUUAUUAUGUCAGUAUUCUUGCAAAAUAUCUCUUUUAAAAACAUGAAAUUUUUUUUAUUUUUUUAAUUUAAAGUUAUGAGAUAGAAAUAUGUUAUAGACUUGAAUUAUAUUUAAAUCUGUUAGGCUGAAAUAUUUAGAAUUCAUCCCAUUUUGACUCUUUUUAGUAGAAAGGAGAGUAAACAAGAUUAUAAAUAUUUGGCGGUAUUCUAGAACAAGAGAAAAGUACAUGGAUUAUAUAACUUUAGUAUUCUAUCUCUAUUAAGACUAGAUUAAUAUUGGUGAUCUUAGUCCACAUGGCAAGUUGUCCUUAACUUUUGCCUAUGGGAACCAUCUGUCAGUAUUAUUGCUCUCCUUCUAUUGAACUGGGUUCAUUUGCUAGUGUGUAUUAUUAUCUUCUUCUAAUCUUUGAAUUGGUUUCUCUCUUUCCAUUCAACCGGCUUCUCCUGUUUUCCUUGAACAGGUUUUGUCCUUCGUUGGACCGAACCGCCCUCUUGACAAAAAUUUGGGCUCGAUGUGUUGUCGUUUCUUCUCCCUUUACAGUUGCUUCCUUCACGACACUUCAUCUCCUACUUAACCCUUCUUCUAGAUGGAAUAUUGGACCACGUGCAUUGUUGUUCCUUCCUUCUCCUCUCCCCACCAUUUUCUUCAUUGCUACUUCAUUUCCUUCUAUUUAACUGAGCCCAUGUAAUAUAUCGAAAUCUUGGUAGAUAUUAUUGGACUUUAGCCAAAUUGAGUAAAGCAUCGAAGAGAAAUAGUUGGACAAGUUUCAAUUAGCAUUGCAACAAGGUUGGAAGGGUUAAGAGUGAGUUUAAAAGAGUUAGAAAGGUUUUGGUAUUGAUCGGAGGAAAAUAAAAUCGAAAAGAUGCAAAAAUUUGCAGUUUGGGCAUUUUGUACCGGUACAGCAUCAAUGUUGUACCGGUACACAUGUGGUAAACCGAGAGAAGCUGCUCUUGGGUUCAGUUCUGCGCGAUCGUGUUACCGGUGACACCAAGACCUGUACCGGUACACUUUGGGUCUAGCAGCAAGUUUUAGUCUGCUGCAAUUACAGAUUUUUGGGGGGCUUGGUUGCUAUUGUUGCAACCUAUAAAUGACCUCAACCCUCCCUCUGGUUCACAGCAACAGAAGACACUCUCUCACACCUAUUUUCUCUCUUUCUCUCUCUAGGAAUCUCUUUCCAAAGGCAAGAAAGAGACUAGGAGGUGGAUUUUGGUGGAGAUUUGGUGGAUUUGAAGGGUUUGAGCUCUCCUAUAAGGUGGACCUUGUAGUGCUCUUGGACUAAGGUGAGCUUUUAUGCAAGAAUGGUCCUAAGGUUUGGAUUUACACCCUAAGUCUUGGAGUUUUGAUUUUCUUGCAAGGCUAAAAGCUUAGUAGAGGCCUUGAACCUAUGAAAAUUCAUGGUUUCUUCAAGUGCUCUUAUGGUGAACUUCUAGCGUUAGCUUUAGAUGCCCUAGGAAUGGUUCAAAUGGCUUAGAAAUGGUAUUAGAGAGUUUUUUGGAUGGUUCUAAGCUUGUUUUUGCUUAGCUCCAAGAUCAAUCCAAGAAAUCUAGCAAAAUGACAUUAUUAGGGCUUCAAAUUAGGGCUUUUAUUCAAGGUUGGUUUAAAAGCAAAUUAACCUUAUAGAAACCUAAUUAGGGGUAUAACGAACGCGUUGGUGCGCUCGGUUCGACAAUCCGAUGAGUGUACAUGAAGAUAUUGAUAAAAACGCCAUUUUUGGUACAGAUAGCCGCAGCACGCGGGAUAGGCGUCCAAAAAUUCCAAUAAUUGAACCGUAGCAUCCUUACAACUAUCCAAGAUGGGGGGUGCCUUUCGGAAUCAUCGGAUUCCCUUCUAUGUCUAUGUUACCUUUUAUUGAGCAUAUAUGUGAAUAGUGUCAUUCAUGCAUGAUAGGAUAGUUGGCAUGUGAAUAAUGGUUAGAACUUCAAUAUUAUGCUUCUAACGUAGAUGAACAUAGUGAUUGAUAAAGAACCAUAUAGGACAUGUAUAUUGGAACCCUAUAUUUGUGUGAAUGUGACAUCGGACUAUGAUAAUAGUAAACGAACGUGACAUUGACAAUAAAGACAAGAUUGUCAUUGAGAAAUGAGUUGUUAAACAUUGUUUAACCUAUUGUGGCAUUAGGGCAAGAGUAGCCUAGAGAGUGGCAAAUUUGAUAAGGUUGAAAUCUAUCAUUUAUAUAGUGGCAUUGUGGCUAGUGGCUAUACGUUCUCAAGUUGAGGAUCGGAUCGAUACUCAUAUCGAAUCUUGGCUUGGGGGUGGUAGCGCAGUCCCUGAAGACGGUCCCUCGGGUGGAAGUGCUUGGAGCCUCCCCGAAUAAAAAAGGAUUUUGGGUUGUGAGUUAUUGGGGUUAACAAGNAGUGUGGCUAUACGUCCUCAAAUUGGGGAUUGGAUCAUACUCACAUUGAGUCUUGGCUUGAGAGAGGUAGCUCCCCCUCAAGCGGUGUGUUCCGAAAUCGACACCACGAGAGCGCGGUCCCUGAAGAUGGUCCCUCUGGUGGAAGUGCUUGGAGCCUCCCCGAAUAAAAACCGAUUUUGGGUUGUGAGUUAUUGGGGUUAACAAGGUUAACCGGUAUGAUUGGCUAUAAGCCAAGGUAUAUUGUGGAAAGAGCAUGCAUGCAUAUUCAUCAUACAUAUGAUUAUCUAUCUGUUGACAGUUUUCUUGUAGGCAUAGUAUUAGUAUUAGUAUGGUUUGCUAUUUCCUUUCUUUGAAAUACUUAUGCCUAAAUAGACCUAGUGGGUAAGUCGGCGAGGUCGGUGGCCGAACCUACUGGAAACUUCGUUGUAGUUCUUACACCACUAACCCUACAGAUCCGAGCGCGAGCGGGGCAGCGGAGGAUCGAGGCAAGGGUAUAGCGCCAUUUUCGGGUAGGGUAGGCUCGGAGUCAGAAGUCCUCUCUUUCCCAACCAAAUAAGCACUUUUGCAACACCUUCCUUCCCGCGGUCAAAACAAGACUUGCAGAUAACAAUCAGACCUUACCAGGGACAGGGACCAGACUAUAGAGCCUAAUUAAUUAAAAAAAAUUCGGGCUUGCUUUCUCAAUUCACAUCUAUGAGCGAUGAUUCCUCUAUCUCUUGCUCGCUUCGAUCGGACUCUGACAGCUUAGGGAAGAAUGAUGGGUCGCUAACAAGGCCCCUAAAUGACCGCUUAGAGGGCCUACCCAUUUUUUUUUCCCAAUCCGUCACUUGCUCGUCUCUCUCUCAUGAAAGAUUUUCUCUCCUCUCCCGGCGGCUUUUACUCAUGGCUAUAGCCAGUUGCUAAGACGAUUCCCAUUCAAGCAUUCUCAUUCAACGGUCUAUCAAUGCUGCUUGUUCCAAAUUCCUUUCUUUCCACUAGUCCAACCCAAAAUACAUGAUUGUUUAUAACUUUUAUAUCACUUGAUCAACAAAAUAAAAGCUGAUACGUACAUGAACAAAAGGGAAUGACUAUAAAUGUAAAAUCCGGUGGCCACUAGCUAUGGUCCUGCAGUUGCCAUGCAUCGCCUCUCUAUUGACCCCGCGGUCAAGCCCGUCAAGCAGGCCCAAAGGCGAUUUCGUCCAGACUUGCAAGGACAAAUCGUUGCGGAAGUUGAUAAACUCAUUGCAGCAGGAUUUAUUGAGGAAGUCCAGUAGCCGAUCUGGUUGGCGAAUAUCGUCCCAGUCUUCCCUUCUCUGAUCGGUCCUGAGGAUCCUCAUGGAUUCUCCUUCCUGUUUCGUCCAAUCUUUUCCUUCUAAUCACUGGCUAAUGCUCAGCCAUUGCUAAUUCGAAUUCUAUUCCAUUUAUCAUUCUUCUAAUUCUCGAGCGGCAGUUCUACUGGUUGCUAAUUACUUUCCUUCCUGUUUGUUAAAGUUAACCACUUGCCUGUAUUUUCCCGCGAUAUUUAGAAACUUCCUGCAUCUGGCACUAAUUCAUUUUUAACGUCUAAUUAGAUUAGAUCGGGUAAUCAUUCCAAUUAAGAACAGAAGCUCGUUGCAGUCUGUCGCUUUUGACCACUCGGCCACUCUCCCCAUCCCGGGCCGACGCCCCCCGAUCAGGGUUCCUGAAUAAGAAGGAUGGCGGCCUUCGUUCUUAAGUUAAGAAGAUUGAAGGGAACUAUUAGAUUAGCUAGCGUUCCGGGAGAAUAAAUAAGGUCAUUUAGUAAGUUCAUAACAAUUGCUGUAAAGCAAGGGGCAAAGCUUCUACGACAGCUUCCCCCUCAUUGCCAUCGUCGGCCUUCCCCAGCUCCCCUCCUUCGUCCCUUCUGGCUAAGCAUCUUUCGGCGGAGGAAAGGAGGCGAGACCUCGCUUCUGGCGAAGUAGCGAGUUCAUGAGCAAGUGAAUGAACGAGCUGCGAGUGAAGUGCAACAGUCGUAAGGCGAGCCAUGUUCCUAAAAGGAGUGACCAUCUUUUCUUCCCUUCUACUGACACUGAGCGAGCAGCAAGCGUAGGCAAUAGUUUCUGUAGGGGUGGGGCGCAAGCAAGCCUUUUCAGGCUCCGCUAGCUAGCUAGCGUACUCUUCUACUAUCAAUGAAAUCGAAAGAAAAGAAAAACCAGUGCCCUUUCGUAUAGAUUGAGACGCAGUACAUUUUUCUUUACUUCUUCCAUAAACGGAAGAAUGGAAGGAAAUCGUUCGAUAACACUUCUUCCUUAUUUGAAGAAAUGAUAUCCUCGUGGAAACUCUUUCAUUUCAUAGAAGUUCUUCUUCUUAAGAAGCAAAUAGCAUUUCCUAUUUCUUUGUCCCCUGGACUAGACCUAUGUUGAUUCUGAAUUAUCCGUCGCUACGCUGUUCCCAAGGACUAGCAGAAUCGAAAUAGCGAAAUUCUUGGGUCAUCUCAAUGGGUUCAGAAACCACACGUUUCUCUGGAUCAUCAUAGCGUACUUCCACAUAUCCACUCAGAGGAAAGUCUUUUCGUAAUGGAUGACCCUCGAAACCAUAAUCUGUUGAUAUACGGCGUAAAUCCGGAUGAUUGAUGAAAGAAACACCAGACAUAUCCCAUACUUCUCGCUCCCACCGGCCGGCUGAUGGAAAUGGACUGACUACCGGAGAUAUUCGUGUUACUUCGGCUGCACUUGUUUGUACACGAAAGCGUGAGUUAUUCGCCAACCAGAUUUGACCAUUUUUCUUCCUGACUGGGACGAUAUUCGCCAACCAGAUCAGAUACUGGACUUCCUCAAUAAAUCCUGCUGCAAUGAGUUUAUCGACCUCCGCAACGAUUUGUCCUUGCAAGUUUGGACGAAACCGCCUUUGGGCCUGCUUGACGGGCUUGACCGUGGGGUCAAUAGAGAGGCGAUGCAUGGCAACUGCAGGACCAUAGCUAGUGGCCACCGGAUUUUACAUUUAUAGUUAUUCCUUUUUGUUCAUGUAUCAGCUUUUAUUUUAUUGAUCAAGUGAUGUAAAAGUUGUAAACAAUCAUGUAUUUUGGGUUGGAUGAUUAUGAUGUAAAGAAAUUAUGAAUGAAAAGAAAAUGAAUGUAAUAGUUUUAGUUUACUUAUAUUUGGUUAAAAUGUAAUCAAAUAUUAUGUAUGUGGUUCCUUGUAGUAGUUUAGAGCUUUCGCUUAUUUUGUUGCUUGCUCUCGUGCAAGCCUUGUAUAAUUGCAAAUCUCAUUGUUUGAUUGCUUAAUUAUAUUUGUUGCUAGAGCCUUGGGCGAGCAGGGGAGGCCAUGUCCGUUCGGCGUCUGUUGACGUGGCCCGAAUCCGACCAAAUUGGCGGAGCUCGGGGCGUGACAGCCUACCUAUUGAAUCCCCUCCUGAUGGAAAAUUGGUCCCGAUGCGUUGUCUUUCCUUCUCUCCUGACCUUUGUUUUCUUUAUGAUGGACGAUUUGAUGCUAACACUGAAGAGUUGUUCUUCGCCGUUUCCACUACUUGCCAGGGGCUAUUUAAUAAAACUUCCAUCAUCACUUGCUUUGCUGUCAGGGUUGUCUACUACUCUAAUAAGACCUCCACCAUCACUUGCUCUGUUGCCAAGGUUGUCUAUUCCUCUACUCCGGUAUCUGACGUUUUGUUUGUGUAUUAAAAUUUGCCUAUUGUAUAUAUAUAUUUUUAAAAUGAAUGUGUUCUCUUUGACCCAGAAAAUUGACAAUAGUGGCUACAAUGGUCAUCCAUUAUCACUUGUUUAGCCAAAGAUUCUUCAUUGAUUUAUAUCUUGUAUUUUGUUUGUGUUCUUCGAUUUACCUAUAGUAUACAUAUUUCUUUUAUAUGAAUGUUAUUCUCUUUGACUCAGGAAUCUGUAAGUGGUUACUUGCAAUUGUCGUGCUUUUAUUGGCCUCUACGAACAUUUUGUAUUGAAUUUGUAAGCUUGUAAUAAUUGAGGGGCUAAAAUGCAAUUUUUUCUUUUAUUUUAAUUAAAGUACGAUGAUUUCAUCAAAUUUAAUUUUCAUGCUUUUAAGGGCCUCUACUGUUCAUUGGCACGUGUUAGUGAGGUAUUAUUGUCGUCCUUGUGCAUUUAAGGGAUUCGAAAUUUUUCAGUGGAACCAAACAAAUUUAAGAAAAUGACCACCUAGAAAUCAAGUUAUCAUUUUAUUUGACUUUUUACAUAAUUUUUGAAAACAAAGAGUCCUAUAUACAAGUACAUUAAGAGAUGAAAGUCUAAAGCCAAGUUUUGUUGAAAUUGGAGUUUCGACGAAAUUACGGGCAUCCUAACUUGGCGCUUGCACAUAGAUUUCGUGUGUAGAAAUUAUUUUGUAGGUGUUCCUUCAGAAUUGUCGCUCGUGGAAGGGGCUUCAACACAAAAAAUAUCCUGAGGAAGGAUUGUCUUCACGAUUGAGAGGAGGUGGGAGGGCCGUCAUGCAAUUAUUGCAGCCCUAAAUCUGAGUGGGAUGAACCAAAUCGAUCAGCUUGGUUCCCAAAAUCUGAUCCAAUCCUUUUUCUUGUGCAAUUGUUUUCUCCCCACCUCUGAUCUCUCUCUCCCUCUCGUCUUUCUCUCUCUCUCUCUCUCAGCCCCACAUGAGCCUUCACCUCUCCCCACCAUCUCCAUGCACAACACCAGCGGUCAAAUGUUGGCACGCCUCAAGGCCUCAGUGGAAGCUUACUAGGGCACAUGCACAGACUUAUCGUGUACACAAGGCCACCGUUGUAAGCACAAGGCGUUUAUAAUCAAUCGACAAUAUCUAUCAAUAAAUGAUAUGCACAUCCUACAAGAUGGAUAAUCAGAGCAUAUAACAUAAACUAGAACUACUUUAAACAUUUGAUAUACAACCAUCCAUCAUACAGAAUCAUAGAUUUCUACAUCACAUAGCUCCAACAUGGAAAUAAAACUUCAAAUAAAAUACCCCUCCACAUAAGGUAUAUCUCCAACAUAUAGAAGAAGAAAUUAAUAAAUCUCACAUACUAUAUAAUGUCCAUCUCUCAUAUAACACCUAAAAUGAAAGUAGAUACAAUGAGACAACCUCUUUGAAUUACAAGGCGAGACAGCUUUAGCUAAUGGUGACACCCUUGCCGUAAUCCUCAGACUUCCCUUUCUAGAGGGCUUUGACAAGUAAAAACAGCAAAUUAAUGGGAGUCAGAACUAUGAAAUAUAAUUCCUAGUGGGUACCGCUGCUAAGAGAGGCAUACUACUCUACUAGGUUAACUAAGGCAUGUGUAAUACUAUGAACCGCUAGAAUAGAAAUAACUAAAAUGAAAGAGCUGUAACUGUAAGCUACUACUAUGCCUCCAAAUAGUAAAGCAUCAACUAUAUGAACCCAACUACCAUGUAUUCAUCAACUAUUUAGAGAAGUUCAAGUAUCCAUAUUUUACCCAAUCUCUUAAUAACUUAUACAAAGUAAAGUCCUAGCCUGUGUUGUAUGUCAUGGUCUUGUGGUAGUUACCUCUAUGGCGCUAUGACUCCCCCACAGCAUCCCAAUCUGACCUCGAUUGUUGCCGUUCUUGAUCUCAUACAACAUGCACAAGCAUAUGCCCGAGAAGUCUAGCGGAUUUGACAUUUGGAUCUCACACAGUGCACAUAGGUACACCUAAGAAGUCUAGCGGAAUCAUCGCAUUUGAUCUUAUAUAAAGUGCACAUGUAACACUCGAGAAGUCGAGGGGAAUUGUCGCUUUUGAUCUUGUAUAGAGUUUAUAUGUUUGCGCCCAAGAAGUCACCGUCUAUUCUCAACCUUGAUUGUCAACCUUUCUAAGUUCCAUGACAUCGAUGUUCAAUUAGUGUCUCGAAUACUAUGUUUUCCAACCUACGCUAGAUGGCACUAGGUUUAUUAACACAUAUAUGUCAGAGAAUGUCAUUUUUCUUGUUGUCCAAACCUACAUGAUUCAUCAUAUGUCUAGUUCUUGUACCUUGGUAGAAAUUUAUCUCAAGUAAAAUAUAUUUACAUACAUACCAUUUUACCAGUUAUGCUACCCUAUAACAUGCAUAAACUGUAUAUUGCUAUAGACAUUAGAAGUGACCAUUCUACUUUGGUAAUGCAUUACCCACCUCGAUUUACUGUAAAUUCCUUAUAGACACGUAAUUAGGACUUCGUAAAUGAAUUGCUUCUCUCCAAGUCAAUCUGCCAAAAACCCUCAAAAUCAGCUCAAAUCUUCAAAUUGGCCGCCAAUACUUUAUUGUUCCUCAAAUCUUUGCUAUCUCACGAGUUUCUCCAAUCUCCAAUUAGAGUUUUCAAGGGUCAAAAUAUUUUUAAACCCUCCACCUAGAAAAACCCCAAUUUUGAUCUAUGGUUUCACAAAACUUCAACAAAAUCCCAUUUCAAUGGCAAAUCUCUACACUUUAUAGCCUAAAUUAGCUAGGAUUUGCCAAAAUCCCUUUUUCUAGGAUUAGAUCCAAAAUUUUGACUCGAAAUCUCAAAAACCCACCUUCGCUUUUGCUUCUCCAAGCUUUUUCUUGCCCAAGAAGCUUGUUCUCCUCCUCAAGAAGCUCCUCCAAGCUUGCUCCUUUAAGCUCCAAACUCUAGGACAGAUUUCCUAGAGAGAGGAAAAGAAAUGGGUUGACAGAGGAAGAGAAAUAUUUUCUCUUGGUCGUGGGGAAAUAGCUGUGAAAGGGGCUAGGGUCCCCUUUCAUAUAGUGUUGCAACAAUUGCAACUAAAAUUCUCCAAUUGUCACAAUUCAUAAACAACCAAAAUCUAUAUAUCACAAUGUUGAGUAUCAAUACUUAACUUCCUACUACCUGUGUCACACCCCGAGCCCCACCAAUUUGGCCGGUUCAAGCGCGUCGAACAGACGCCGGACGGACAGCACCUCCCCUGUCUGCCCAAGGCUCAACAACAAGAUCAUGCACAAGAAUUUGCCUAGGUAAAAUUCAUUCAACAUACAUGGUGAAUGCAAGAAGCACCACAAGUGCUAUACAAGUAAGAGCAAGAAUCACGAGUACAUACAAGUGAAUAAAAGAGAGAUAUAACCUAGCUAUUACAUCACAUUCAACAUUUACAUUGAUUGGAUUUACAUUUCCAUCUCCCAAAAAUGAAUACAUGAUCCUCUCACAAACAUAAUGCUAGCUAUCCAAAAUACAUCAUGUCUAUAAACAUGCACACGAGGGUGCUCUAGUACAAAUAGAAAACUCUACUAGUUAGCUAGGGCGCUACGCCUUUACCGCGAUCCUCCCCCGGAACGCUCGCACUCGGCCCUACAACAAAGUGGGGUGAGAACUAUAUAAAUAUAGUUUCUAGUGGGUUCGGCCGCCGACUCCGCCGAUCUUCCCACUAGGUCUAAGCAGGCACAUAUAGAUAGAUAGAUAAAUAUGAAAUUACAACUAUGCUCUACUAUGCCUUCAAAUGCAAGCAAUGCAUGGAAUAUCAUCUAGCAACAAGCCUACUAUCAUGCUAGUAUGCUUCAACAAUAUCAUGAACAUAAAUACGAACAUAGUUAUGCAAUCCACUAGGCUACCCCGCCUAAGAUGGUAUGAAUGCAAGUCCACUAUGCUAUGAAUACAAGUCCACUAGGCUACCCCCCUAAGAUCUCAAAUCUCAUAGAUACUCACACUACAAAUCUAGUAGGUGAAGAGGUGAAGAGCUACCCCGCUCUUCGCCCCGACUGAUAUCUUAAAUCUCACAGGUGAGGAGCUACCCCGCUCUUGUCACGCCCCAAUCCCCACCAAUUUGGUCGGGUUCGGGUCACGUCAACAGACACCGAACGGACAGAGCCUCCCUUGUUCGCCCAAGGCUCUAACAACAUGUAUAAAUAGGCAAUCAAUAAGAGAUUUGCAUAUAUAAUACAAGGCUUGCACGAGGGCAAGCAACAACGGAAGCGAAAUCUCUAAGCUAAUUAAGCAACAUACAUGAUAUUUGAUUACAUUUAAACUAAAUUCAAGUAAAACUAUUACAUUUUUCCAUCAUAUCUUUUUACAUUUAGUCAUCCACCAAAUACAUGAUUGAUUACACUUUGCAUCUCUAAAUCAACAAAAUAAAGUUGAUACAUGUAUAUUAAAAAGGAAUGACUACAAAAUGUAUAGUCCCGGUGGCCGCUACCUACGGCGCCAAACCCUUGCCUCGGUCCUCCGCCGCCUCGCUCGUGCCAGGACCUGUAGGGUUAGUGGUGUGAGAACUACAACGAAGUUCCCAGUGGGUUCGGCAUUCGACCUCGCCGACUUACCUACUAGGUCUAUUCAGGCAUAAGUAUUUCAAGGAAAGAAAAGUAACCGGUACUAAUGCAUCUAAUACUAUGCCUGCAGAAGAAUAUCAGUGGAUUCAAAUACUCAAUGCGAUAAUAGGAAAUGCAUGCAUGCUCAAAUCACAAAUAAGCUUUGGCUCUUACCCAAUCUUACCGGUUAACCUUGUUAACCCCAAUAACUCACCACUCAAAAUCCCUUAAUAGCGGGGGACUCGAACCUCCCUAGGGACCGUCAUCUGGGGGACUUUACCACGCCCAGUGGUGACCAACUCCGGAG